rnacentral:rRNA from 1 species
CCUACGGAGGGCAGCAGUGGGGAAUAUUGGACAAUGGGCGAAAGCCUGAUCCAGCCAUGCCGCGUGUGUGAAGAAGGCCUUCGGGUUGUAAAGCACUUUCAGUGGGGAAGAAAGCCUUGGGGCUAAUACCCUCGAGGAAGGACAUCACCCACAGAAGAAGCACCGGCUAACUCCGUGCCAGCAGCCGCGGUAAUACGGAGGGUGCGAGCGUUAAUCGGAAUUACUGGGCGUAAAGCGCGCGUAGGCGGUCUGAUAAGCCGGUUGUGAAAGCCCCGGGCUCAACCUGGGAACGGCAUCCGGAACUGUCAGGCUAGAGUGCAGGAGAGGAAGGUAGAAUUCCCGGUGUAGCGGUGAAAUGCGUAGAGAUCGGGAGGAAUACCAGUGGCGAAGGCGGCCUUCUGGACUGACACUGACGCUGAGGUGCGAAAGCGUGGGUAGCAAACAGGAUUAGAUACCCUUGUAGUC